rnacentral:rRNA from 1 species
UGGGGAAUAUUGGACAAUGGGCGCAAGCCUGAUCCAGCCAUGCCGCGUGAGUGACGAAGGCCUUAGGGUUGUAAAGCUCUUUUGGCGGGGAAGAUAAUGACGGUACCCGCAGAAUAAGCUCCGGCUAACUUCGUGCCAGCAGCCGCGGUAAUACGAAGGGAGCUAGCGUUGUUCGGAAUCACUGGGCGUAAAGCGCACGUAGGUGGGCAGUUAAGUCAGGGGUGAAAGCCCGAGGCUCAACCUCGGAAUUGCCUCUGAUACUGGCUGUCUAGAGUUCGAGAGAGGUGAGUGGAAUUCCUAGUGUAGAGGUGAAAUUCGUAGAUAUGUGGAGGAACACCGAUGGCGAAGGCAGCCCCCUGGGUCAAGAUUGACGCUCAUGCACGAAAGCGUGGGGAGCAAACAGGAUUAGAUACCCCAGUAGUCCCUGAGCGGGCUGGCAAGGCGCAU